AGAGUUUGAUCCUGGCUCAGGACGAACGCUGGCGGCGCGCCUAACACAUGCAAGUCGAGCGAGAACCGGGGGCUUGCCCCCGGGGACAGCGGCGAACGGGUGCGUAACACGUGAGCAACCUGCCCCAAAGACCGGGACAACCCGAGGAAACUCGGACUAAUACCGGAUGCCCUCACCGGGUCGCAUGGUCUGGUGAGGAAAUGGAUUCCGCUUUGGGAUGGGCUCGCGGUCUAUCAGCUUGUUGGUGGGGUAACGGCCUACCAAGGCGACGACGGAUAGCUGGUCUGAGAGGACGAUCAGCCACACUGGGACUGAGACACGGCCCAGACUCCUACGGGAGGCAGCAGUGGGGAAUCUUGCGCAAUGGGGGAAACCCUGACGCAGCGACGCCGCGUGCGGGAUGAAGGCCUUCGGGUUGUAAACCGCUUUCAGCAGGGACGAAAUUGACGGUACCUGCAGAAGAAGGCCCGGCCAACUACGUGCCAGCAGCCGCGGUAAUUC
rnacentral:rRNA from 1 species